CAGAAUCACUUUGGGAAAACUGUGGGUGCUUGCCAUCAUCACCUCUCGGGCAAGUCUGGUGCCUGCCAUCAUCACCUUACUGGGCUGUGUCCCGUGCUCACAGCCCCACACAUGCAUGAUUAUUGUGGCAGUUGCGGUAAGCUUUAUCCUCCUCUUCCUCACCUUUCCCCCUUCCCCCUCUCAGUAGCAGCAGGCGGCAGGCGGCAGGCAGCAGGCGGCAACCCCACACUCGUCUCUUCUGUUUUCUCCCAAAUAUCUUCCCUCUUAUUUUGCUUUUCACCACUCUACACACAUGCGACUUUUCUGUCCAAAGCCUUAACAAUCUUAUAAAGCUACUUCUUCUAUUCAAAAGCUACAGAUAAACAACCUUUCUAUGAUCCGUUAAAGUCCUGCAUAUUUGUGUUCUUUUACAAGGAAAGGCAGACAAGGUGGCUUUCUCAAUGGGUGUUUCUUUUUUUCAGUUGGAAGAAGAUUUGCCUAUUUGGGCGUCAGUUUUCUUUUCCAUAUAAACAUCAAUGAAUGUGGUUCACCGGCAAAGCCACUAACAAUAUCUCUCUUUAACAAGCUUUGCCUUCUCUUCGCUUCUUUUCUGUUGAAGGGGCAAUAGAAGGGAAUGAGUAUGGAGAAGCUCAACUCCGAGCUGUACUUGCAGAACUGCUACAUAAUCCAAGAAAAUGAGAGGCUAAGAAAGAAAGCUCAGCAGCUCAACCAGGAAAAUCAGGCUCUGCUGGCAGAGAUGAAGGAGAAACUCCCCAAGACAAGCUCCAGUUCGAACCCAAAUCGAGAUCCCAGCCAUGGCUCAAGUUCCACUUCCACCUCAAAUCCUAGUCGAUCAAGCAAACCCUGAUCAUAUGAACACAAUGGCAUCACUAAGGUCCCCACCCUCCCUUGUACAAAACCAUAUGGGCAGAGUAUCAGUGGCAUCUUUUCUUCGCAAUACUUAUUACGAAACCAAAUAUGCAUCUCUUAAAAAAAUUUAUUCGUGGGGGCAAAAUAAAGUUUUUGACCUUUGGAAGAUGAAUUGAAUAUGAUGUUCUAGCUUAUUCAUAUCCAUUGUGUCUCCCUUUCCCUCAUAACAUAAACCAGACAAAUAAAUAAUAAUCUCAAAUGCUGUUAAAACUAUAA